AACGAACGCUGGCGGCAGGCUUAACACAUGCAAGUCGAGCGCCCCGCAAGGGGAGCGGCAGACGGGUGAGUAACGCGUGGGAACGUACCUUUUGGUUCGGAACAACUCCGGGAAACUGGAGCUAAUACCGGAUAAGCCCUAACGGGGAAAGAUUUAUCGCCGAAAGAUCGGCCCGCGUCUGAUUAGCUAGUUGGUGAGGUAACGGCUCACCAAGGCGACGAUCAGUAGCUGGUCUGAGAGGAUGAUCAGCCACACUGGGACUGAGACACGGCCCAGACUCCUACGGGAGGCAGCAGUGGGGAAUAUUGGACAAUGGGCGCAAGCCUGAUCCAGCCAUGCCGCGUGAGUGAUGAAGGCCUUAGGGUUGUAAAGCUCUUCUGUCCGGGAAGAUAAUGACUGUACCGGAAGAAUAAGCCCCGGCUAACUUCGUG
rnacentral:rRNA from 1 species